UGUAAGCGUAUACCAAAGUUGUUGCAGUUAAAACGCUCGUAGUCGGAAUUUGGCAGUUCCGGAUGUGUGCACGUCGUGUGCGCACUUCGCGGGGAUUGCUUUUGUGGUCUUGCGUAGGAUGAGGCACUUUAUUAGUGAACGUCCUCACGCAACCACUUUUUACUGUGAGAAAAUCAGAGUGCUCAAAGCAGGCAUUUGCCGUGAAUGUAUUAGCAUGGAAUAAUAGAAUAGGACUUGGUUCUAUUUUGUUGGUUUGUUGGGACUGAGUAAUGAUUAAGAGGGACAGUUGGGGGCAUUUGUAUUUCGGUGCUAGAGGUGAAAUUCUUAGAUUACCGAAAGACAAACUGCUGCGAAAGCGUCUGCCAAGGAUGUUUUCAUUGA
rnacentral:rRNA from 1 species